AUUGAACGCUGGCGGCAGGCCUAACACAUGCAAGUCGAACGAGUGGCGGACGGGUGAGUAAUGUCUGGGAAACUGCCUGAUGGAGGGGGAUAACUACUGGAAACGGUAGCUAAUACCGCAUACCAUCGGAUUUGCCCCGAUGGGAUUAGCUAGUAGGUGGGGUAACGGCUCACCUAGGCGACGAUCUCUAGCUGGUCUGAGAGGAUGACCAGCCACACUGGAACUGAGACACGGCCCAGACUCCUACGGGAGGCAGCAGUGGGGAAUAUUGCGCAAUGGGGGCAAGCCUGAUGCAGCCAUGCCGCGUGUAUGAAGAAGGCCUUCGGGUUGUAAAGUACUUUCAGCGGGGAGGCGUUACCCGCAGAAGAAGCACCGGCUAACUCCGUGCCAGCAGCCGCGGUAAUUC
rnacentral:rRNA from 1 species